GGUGACACCUCCCCUCACCGCCCCCAGCACAGGCAAUAAACACCGGCCCCGGCGCCUCUGCUCCCGGGACUGGGGGUGCUCGUCUGUCCUGGACGUGUGGGCUCAGCAAGGAGGGCACCUGGACACUGACAUCCACAUCCACUGGCACUGGUGGAAAAGUUUAAGUUGUCCCACUCUUCAUCUUGAUGGAGAGGAUGCAUGUGCAAGCAAGCUCGGAAAAUGGGAGGCUGUGGUUUAUCUGCUGGGAAAUUAAGGGCUAAAACCAUAAAAUAAGGACGCUGAGGGCUGCAGCACACAGCACCCCGCACCGCCCUGCUGCGGGGGGAGCGCGCUUUGGGUGACCCCGGGCUCGGACAAUGUCUCUGGGCACUGGGCAGAGCUGGAAGGACCGCGGCCCGUGGGGGUCCCGGGGCCCUGUGUGGGAUCUGGUUUUACUCGGCACCGCGCUCCCAUCACGGCCGGGCUGCCCCGAGCUGUUUCAUACAUACAGUACAGGGAGCGCCUCGGCGCUGCUCGGCUGCUCGGAGCUGCUCGGACAGUACUCUCCAACUGAGGAUUUGUCAAUGAUUAACAAAAGAACAGAUCAUCACAAAUCGGGAGUUUAUUAUAAGAUAGUUUACCGUUAAAACAAUUUUAUUUUUUGCAAAUAAACACUUUUUAAUAUAUA